GAUGAACGCUAGCGACAGGCUUAACACAUGCAAGUCGAGGGGCAGCACAGGGUAGCAAUACUUGGGUGGCGACCGGCGCACGGGUGAGUAACGCGUAUGCAACUUACCUAUCAGAGGGGGAUAGCCCGGCGAAAGUCGGAUUAAUACCCCAUGAAACAGGGGUCCCGCAUGGGAAUAUUUGUUAAAGAUUCAUCGCUGAUAGAUAGGCAUGCGUUCCAUUAGGCAGUUGGCGGGGUAACGGCCCACCAAACCGACGAUGGAUAGGGGUUCUGAGAGGAAGGUCCCCCACAUUGGUACUGAGACACGGACCAAACUCCUACGGGAGGCAGCAGUGAGGAAUAUUGGUCAAAUGGGCGAGAGCCUGAACCAGCCAAGUAGCGUGCAGGAUGACGGCCCUAUGGGUUGUAAACUGCUUUUAUAAGGGAAUAAAGUGGGAGUCGUGACUCUUUUUGCAUGUACCUUAUGAAUAAGGACCGGCUAAUUCCGUG
rnacentral:rRNA from 1 species